rnacentral:rRNA from 1 species
UACAGAGGUCUCAAGCGUUGUUCGGAAUCACUGGGCGUAAAGGGUGCGUAGGCCGCACGGUAAGUCAGGUGUGAAAUCCCGGAGCUCAACUCCGGAACUGCCUCUGAUACAGCACGUCUUGAGUUCGAGAGAGGUGGGUGGAAUUCCUAGUGUAGAGGUGAAAUUCGUAGAUAUUAGGAAGAACACCGGUGGCGAAGGCGGCCCACUGGCUCGAUACUGACGCUGAGGUGCGAAAGCGUGGGGAGCAAACAGG